rnacentral:rRNA from 1 species
UACGUAGGGGGCAAGCGUUGUCCGGAUUUAUUGGGCGUAAAGAGCGUGUAGGCGGCCUUACAGGUCAGCUGUGAAAACUCGAGGCUCAACCUCGAGACGUCGGUUGAAACCGUCUGGCUAGAGUCCGGAAGAGGAGAGUGGAAUUCCCGGUGUAGCGGUGAAAUGCGCAGAUAUCGGGAAGAACACCCGUGGCGAAGGCGGCUCUCUGGGACGGUACUGACGCUGAGACGCGAAAGCGUGGGGAGCGAACAGG